rnacentral:misc_RNA from 1 species
AAAUCACACUCUUUUAUGCACACGUGGUAUUGCUACAUUGGUCAAUAUUGAGGUUUUUCUCAUAGUGUUCCUCAGUGUUAUUGUCCAUCAGUGUUUCGCCAUUUGGUAUUCCAACCACUUGAAAUCUUAGUAACUUUUGUUCUACUUUUCUGCAUAAAUUCUGAGUUUCUCUGAUGCAGACUCAGGGAACACCUGAUAAUGG